CGGGCUGUGGCGCAGCUUGGUAGCGCGCUUCCUUGGGGUGGAAGAGGUCGCAGGUUCAAAUCCUGUCAGCCCGACCAGAU
rnacentral:tRNA from 1 species